UGUCCAUGGGAUUUGCCAGGCAAGAGCACUGGAGUGGGGUGCCAUUGCCUUUUCUGUGCCACUGACUAGUGGUACAUAAUCUUUUCUAAGGAACAUGAAUUUUCCAGCUUGAGAUUAGAAUAAAAUGAAGAUAAAGCAUUAAGAUGCUUAUAAAGUUCACACUCAUUUCAGUGCUCUGGAUGCUCUAUAUCUCAGGGAUACAUAUCUUUGGUUUGCAGUUAAAUCAGUUCUAAUUAAUACAAGAUGGACUUUAACACUCAAGAGUGACCCAGAUCUCAAACUGUUUCUCUGGAUUGAUAAUGAUUAAGUGCUGCUAAUGAGUAACUAUAGAAACUUUUGAGCCAAGUCUCUGGAUGCCUCUGGGCUAUCCAGAAGCUAGAAAUGCAGGAAAUGUACAGCUGGAUAAAUACGGAUUUUGAUCAAAUGAAACACUCUUCUACAUUUUUUUCUAUAAAGCAUGAGAAAAGUUAAACCAGGUUAAUAAGUAUUAAUAAAAAAAUAAUUUAUAGCAACACUAACUAAAUCUCAUUUUUACCAUGGGGGCUAUUUUCUUUGGUUUUGAAAUAAUUCUCAGUAAAAAUUCUUCACAGCAAUUUGUGUCAAAGACAUUUUAACCUAUAAGCUUAGUUUGAAAGGUAAAUUAAUGUUCAUUUAAAAUAGAGAAUUAGAUUAAUGAUGUUGACUUGAAUAAAGUGUGAGUUGGCAUACAGUUCCAUUAAAUACCAAUAGUUUAUUCCUGUUUUUUCAAAUUCACUUUGAAUUAAAUUCAGGAGAAACCAUUGUCUUAGUUCACUUUGUAUAUGAUUAAGUUUUCUCUAAGUUUCGCUUUGUUAACAUUUAAACACAACACAGAAAUCGAUUUUGGAGGAAGAGAAAUUUUAGCAUUAUUAAAAUUAACUGACACCUUUUCUCCUUUAUGCUCAAGUUGUGUUGUGAUCCUGUGAAGUAAAGAAAAAUAUAUUAGAGCAAUUUACCCCUAUAUGUGAACUGCUAUAUUUGAGCAGUCUAUACCUCAGUUUUUAAGAACUACUCAAUUUGUGCCCAAGUUUUUUGUGACUUAUAGCAUAUAUUCCAUCUUUUAAUUUCCUCACUUGAUUUUUUUUAAAAGUUACUAUUAGACUUUAGAUUUUUUUCAAACCAAGACUUUUUCUUAUGCUAGUGAUUAUUUUAACUUUAAAAAAUAAAGCUGUCUAAAUAAUGGUAAGAUUUCUUUUCAAAGCAGAUUUUCAACUCAAAAAUAAUCCAUUUCCAAAGAUGUCAAUGAACCAAGUCUGACAUCUGAACUUUUCUUUUAAUUUGUUUUUGGCGUUGUUGGCUCUUAUGCAUUCCCUGGGUUUAUUAGAGCAUGUGAAGCUCUUGUGACUCAGUUGAUGUAAUAAAACUCGUGAAUGUAAAUUUGUCUUAUUGUUCUGCAUGUUUGCUUAUUCUUCACACUUGUCGUUCAAGUCUAAAUUUAAAAGAUUAUAUUUUGAAAGUAAGAAACUAAAUGAUGCUGUCUAAAUAUGUUAAAAUAUUUAAGCAUCUGGAUUUACUUUCAGUCUAGAUGAAAGAUCUUGGGGAAAUGGGACUCUACAUAUUUUUCAUUUGCCUUUGAGAGAGAAACUAGCUGACAUAAUGUAGAUUAAAGUGAAGUUUCAGGCUGAAUGGGAUCCAGAGAGAUUCAGGCUACUCUCUGAAGUAGAAAUGAAGGACAGUCAUUAUGGAUCAUAUUUCAUCUUGGAUCUUGAAAAUAUAUCACAGACCUGAUUAGGCAAAAGCUCAAUUUGAGCCUUUAAGCAUGAAUUGAAGAAUCUCCUUCUAGAAUCCAGACAGCUCUUUCACCUGCCUAACCCAGAAUAAAUAUGUAUUUAAGUAAGUGCUAGGUAAGGUAAUUAUAAUCUAGAAUCCAGGAGCUGAGCAAUUUUUGUCAAUUAUUCACAGAUUAUGCCUCUGUUGACAAUUCUCAGUUUUGUAAUUUGACUAACUGCUGGCUAUUGACUUCAUCAAGUAUUGUUAGUCCAUCAGAAAAGUAGUGAGCUUAACAAAAUAACAAGCAAUGACUGUUUACUUAAAUUCCCAAAGCAGAUUCCUUAACAACAACAACAACAACAACAAACCUUUAUGUGAAAUUUAAAGGACGUCUAACUGAUGUUAUGAUUAAUUAACAAUCAAAUCUGUCAACACCAAAACAGCUACCACUGCUUGAUUGAUUUUAACUGAUAAAUUUCACCCAACUGAUGAUCCUUAGUACAAAUACAAUGACCCCUUGGGACUUCCCUGGCAGCCCAGUGGUUAGGAUUUCCCACCUGCACUGCAGGGACACAGGUUCCAUCUCUGGCCAGGGAACUAAAAUCUCACAUACCCAGCAGCUCAGCCAGAAAGUAAAAACUGAUGAGAAUCCCAUGGACAGAGAAACCUGGAGGGCUAUAUAGUUCAUGGGGUCACAAAGAGUCGGACAUGACUGAGUGACUAACAGAGUAUACUGUUGAGCUAGUACAGUCUGGAUAUUAUUCCAGGAUUUUGCGUUUAGUUGUCAGUCAGCCAAAAAUGGACAAAGUAAGAGACCUUUACAAAAAACGCAUCAGGGUAGGGUGGGAGUGGAGUGAACUUCCUCUGCUUGAACACAUCACGAUAAAUAUUAAUAAUAGGCAUAUUUUCUCGCACCAAUUAUCAACUAUUUGCCAUUUAGAUGAACCCCUCACAAUAAAUAUGUUAUGUUCUGGCACUACGAUUUUUGUGAAGCAGGUCUAUAUUUUAAAAUUUAAGAAACUGUUAUUCGUUCACUCAUUUAUUCAAUUGAUUUCAUUCCUCUCCCUCUCUUCACUCGGGGCUCCUCCCACCUCGUCACUCGGGGCUCCUCCCACCUCCCUCAGAGGUUCUUCUUGCCCUGCUCUCUCAAAGCUCCUCACAGCAUCGUCACUCAGGACUCUGAACAACGUCCUCCCUCGGGGCUUCUCUGGCUCUCCUCACUUAUGGCUCCUCUCACCCUUCUCGCUCAGGGCUCUUCUCACUCUCCUACCUCAGGGCUUCUCUCGCCCUCCUCACUCAAAGCUCCUCACACCCUCGUCACUCAGGACAACUGGAGCCCUCCCUCCUGCGAGCUUCUCUCACCCUCCUCCCUCUGAGCUCCUCACAACGCCUUCCGAGGUCCUCUCGACCUGCUCACUCAGGUUUCCUCUCACCCUCCUCCCUCAGACCUCCUCACAAGCUCCUAGCUCAGGGCUCUCUCCAAGAAUUUGAAGGAUUUUAAAUAGAUAAUUGUUGGUAAGAACACAGUUCCUGUGUCACUGCAGUUACUCGUCUACUGAGUGGAGAUGCAUCAAGCAAGGAGGUCACAGAGUAUGAAACCCACUGGAACAAAUGUAAGAUUGUUUGAGCAGAGGACUCCAACUCCCAGCCAGAGGAACUCAAAAAGUCUCUGCUUUCAGCAGCAGGUUGUGCUGCCAGCUUCUGUCUCCACAUCUCCUAAAUCAAGAUAGAGAAAUAGGACUGGAACCCAAAUUCUAGGAUUCAAGAGUCUGCACUCUCCACUGUACAAAACUUAUUGGUGUUCUGAAUGGUGAAACACUAGUGAUUUCCUGGUUUGAUGCUGCAGUCCCAAAAAGGCAAUUUGCAUUAGAAAAAGAUGUGAAAUUCAUGGAUGAAAAUUCACAAAUCUGCUUUGUUUCACAAUUUGGUGGAUGUCUCUGAAUCAUAUCACCAGCUUCUUGGGAAACUUAACAAUUGUCAGCCCUCAUGAAGAUAUCGCAAGUGACAGCCAAAACUUUUCCUGAGUGCUUGGGAUCCCUCUGCUUCUUCCAUCCUCUGACAUCUACACGACAAGCUCCAUGUUGGACUUUGUGGCUACAAAGAGGGAAAUGACACCAGCCCUGCCCUCGGAGCUCCUGAUCUGGGAAGAGUCUAGAAACAUCAUUUAUGAAGUAAUAGCCAAGUUUUCACAAGUAUAGAAUACGGAAAGGAUGGCUAAUCACCAUUGAUCUAUGUUACCCUGCUCAUGAAUUCGACCAUUAGCAGCAAUAAUUAUGGAAUUUAGAACAUACUAUAUGUUACAUAAGUACCACAUUACUUUAUAUUUGUGAUUGUUUUAUUUUUGCUUGUAAUAUGGGAUAAAGUCACUAAAAUCCUUCCAAUAUUCUGCAUUGGAAAUUGCUUCUAAUUCUGUUUCUCAAGUGGAUUUCUCUUCAUUUCUUUAUUACAGCUUUUUCUGUGUUUUUCUCUAUUGGAAAAGUUUUCCAGCUACUAGACCUACAGGCUUCAAACAACCCCCAACCCAUCAACUGCAGAGCCACAAUUUGUGUAUGAUGCCCACUAAGGGGAGGCCCCCCUACUUCUCCCGAUGUCCCCAGUAAAGAAACACUCUUCCAAUCCACUUUUUGUUAAUAGAAGUCCCUUGCCCUGGGAAGGAAAUACAAGUUUUCAGGAUAAUCUGGCACAUCUCAGGACUAUGAGGGCUUAUUAGACUUCUUGCUGAAACCACCAAAGAUGAACAAAGCAGAUGCAUGGACUUAGUUACUUGUAAAACACAGGAACAGCAAGCUGGGAUAGGCCUUGUUCACUGCUCUGUCUUCAGUUCCGAACCCUAUCCCUGGUACAAUGUAGACACUCAAUAAAUAUUAGUUAUUGGUCUAGAAAAUGUUAGGAGAUACACUUACAUAAAAGUAAGUAUUCUUUAAUGGAUUUUAAUAAAUUUUUCUCUGCUGAAAGAAAAUGCAGUGAUGCUAAUAGACUCUGGGAAUGUGCAAUAAGGGUCAUUUCCAUUUAUUGACUGCCUCCCUCUCCCCCAGCCAGAUAUAUUACAUAAUACACAUAAAAUCCUCAGAGGCAGGUAUUAGUGAUCACAUUUCACCAAUGGGAAACUGAACUUCACAUAGUUUGUGACCUUCAUGAGGGUGACAGGGCUCUAGGUGACAGAAAGGGGAUGUGAACCCAAGCUACACAGAUGGCUCUGAAGUCAGAGACUUUUCUGUUGAUUUAUUUCCCAGUGGUGAGGACAGCUCAGAGGAAGAGCUGCUCUCUAGUGCCUCAAGCAUCCAGAACUUUGAGAUGAAGAGCCAGUCACUCUGGGAUAUAGGGUCUUCAUGCUUCCUAGAUAUGUCAUGUAAUCCACCCACCAUCAUUGAGUUCCUAAACUGGUCAUCAGAAACUGAUGUUUAUCCAAUCAGAAUUAAGAGGCAGACAAAUUUCUACACUAAAUUCAAGUGCUUGAUGAACUUUUCACCAUAGGCUUGUCUUGUUUGAUAUUUCUUAUCCUAAAAAAUGCAGAAUUUAGUUGAUACAUCACACAAGAAGGAUCAAAACUCAGAGAUGUAAAAUAUAUAUGGGGGAGCCAGGAGAAAACUGCAGAGAGUGUAGAAUGGGGUGGUUAAUUUCAGGCUUUCAUUAGCAUCUGCAAAAAAAAAAAAAAAGUUAAUGCCUACUUACCUUCAAACCAAAGGGGAGUUUGCAGGAAGCAUUAUUUAAUGUUUUUAAAAAAUAGGGUUUUAAAUAAUUAAUAUAAAUGCUAAAAAUAGCUAAGCAAUAAAACCCUUUUAAAUAUUUUACCAAAGUAUAUUGCUCACAUGCCUUAUAUUCAGACUGUGUCCUGAUUUGGAUAUUUCAUGUUUCUACAGUUUACUUUGUAUAUCACUAAUCAAAAUUAAAUAGUGUCUAUGCCUAAUUACAUUGAUCAUUUUUCGCAUACUGCAAAGAGAAUGGAAAUCUUGGAAAUAAAUGCUUUUGCUUGGAAUUAAUUCUCUCUGAAAUAAUACACUGAUGAGUGAUUUGUUGAGAUAAUAUGAUAUAAGUGGUUGCCACUGGAAUUAAUUAGGCUUCCCUGAUAGCUCAGUUGGUAAAGAAUCUGCCUGCAAUAUGAGAGACCUGGGUUCAAUCCCUGGGUUGGGAAGAUCCCCUGAAGGGAAUGGCUACCCACUACAGUAUUCUGGCCUAGAGAAUUCCAUGGACUGUGUAGCCCAUGGGGUCACAAGGAGUCAGACACGACUGAGCAACUUUCACUUCACUUCACUGGAAUUAAUGGGAUGAAAUGAAACUGGAAAAUUUGGGAUGAAUAUUCAGAAAAUAGAAGGUUUUAAACUUUUAGACUGUGUGAACUUCUUGGGGAAUAGGUAAAAGUUCUGGGUAUUUAUAUUAAGCCCCAACACCAAUAUGAGACUAUUCAGCAGGAAAGAUUUCAGCCUUUCUAAAUACCACUCAAGAGUAUUAUGAAGCAUCUAAGUCCCUUAGAUCCCAAGCAAGACUUUGAUAUCUCUGAUAAAAAAACAUUGAAUUUUAAUGUACCACAAGUAAUUAUUAUAAUUUCCUUUAGAAGUAUAAAUUGUCUGACUGUAUCUACUUCGAGGGAAGUGGAAAGUAUUAGUCCCUCAGUCACGUCUGACUCCUUGCAACCCCAUGGACUGUAGCCU